rnacentral:rRNA from 1 species
AUGCAGUCGGUUGGAGAUCACUCGACGGCUACGCCAGAGGCCGAGCCGGCAGGUCGGUUGCUUGUCCGGGUGUUCAGCAGCGGGGCCAGAGCCUUGACGACGAUGCUCAUGUUUGGCCGGAAAUCUGCCUCGUACUGUACGCACAGGGCAGCCACGGCAGCCAUCUGUUUGCCACAACAUAUGAAAAAGUCAUGCCCACAACUUGGGAAAAGAGCAUCCAAUUUGGUUUCACCUUCAGUGACUUAUGAUCUUGAUUCGUCUACUAUCAUUGAAAUUUUGCAAUACCAGCUACACAACAAUCACAGACAUCAUUGCCAGCUCCUUUGCCAGAUUGCUAGUUCAUUGCGGCCUGUAGAGAUGCCCUACCCCCUCCAAGAGUGCAAACUACUGCAACACUUGGCUUGA